GGAUACAUAACUCAGUUGGUUAGAGUAUUACGUUGACAUCGUAAAAGUCACUGGUUCAAAUCCAGUUGUAUCCACUC
rnacentral:tRNA from 2 species